GAGAGGAACAGAGACGAGCUGACCCCUGGAGGUGGCUGGCCGGCCAGCCUCAAUGAAACCUCAAACUCAGAUUCAAUGAGAGACUGAGUUUCUAAACACAAGAACUCGCAUAAAGCAGAAUGCAGCUUCACACAUCUGUAACCCCAGCCUGCUCUGAAGUGAGAGGAGAGAAUUCCCAGAGUCAGCUGAGCUGGACUACACAGCGGCAAGCAAGAGACUCCAUCUACCUCACACAAGACGGGAGGCAAGGACUGACCCCCAAGGUUAUCCUGACUUCUACUCAGGCAC
rnacentral:lncRNA from 1 species